rnacentral:lncRNA from 1 species
GUCAGUGUGUUUUUUACUGUGCUAAGCUGCCUCCAUGGUUAUAUUUUUUCUCUCAGUUGCCUUAAUUACCCUUUCUUUGUUUUGACAUUGUAUAUAUAUAACCCAAGAAAAAGAGAUAAAGUGCAGGCAUGUUAUUUUGAAAUUGAACAUUUGAAUUUUCUUUGGAUAACAUAGUGGAUGGGUAGAAGGGAGUGUUGGGAAAUAAUUCUCGAUGAAUAUUUCAUGAUUCUGCAUGGUUCAUGUCCUCUGAUCAUUCGCAGUCAAGUUAAGAAUGUUUGUAUCAGGAGAAAUUGCAGGAUAGUAAAGCUUAGAGACAUUUCCCUCCCUGGAAACAGUUGGAAGUAUUAAAGAUAAAGACCUCUUCUUCCUUUCCCCACAGACAUUUACUUACCCAGAGUUAAGAUAAGAUUUCUCUCUCUCCAGAAAGAGGGGAUCACCAGCAGCCCUAUAUAAGACCAAAGUUUCCUGAGUUUGGGCCUCCUUUCCUUCGAUGCAACCUGACCCUUACUGCGUUACCUACCCCGUGAGGAUUUGAGCUCAAGAAACUGGUGCCAAGACAUUGCUCUGACUGCUGCUUCUGCUAAGAAAUGCUGCAAUUCUACCAGACUAUCAAACUGCCAUGUGAAAAUCUAGGCACAGCACGGCAUUGGCAGAUUGUACAGCCCCUCCUCCAUCUCUCUCUGAACAAACCAAAACUGCUAGGUAGAAGUCUGAGUUUGCUAGGGCAGCCCCUUCCCUCCUUCCCUGUAUUAUUCCUGCCUUCCUGUGUUGAUCACUGUCCUGUGAUGAUGUGAUAUUUGGAGCUGCAGCAGCUAUCUUGUGACC